rnacentral:tRNA from 1 species
GAGGGUAUAGCUCAAAGGGGUGGAGCAUGUGCUUAGUACGCACAAGGUCCUGGGUUCAAUCCCCAGGACCUCCU